GCAAAUAGUUAAUUCACAUCAUUACAUUUAAGUUAUUUGCGUCACUUAUUUAAUUAAUGAGCGAUGCAGAUAACUAUAGGUUAAAAAUUAAUUCUAAAUAUUCUACUGAUCUCGCCAUUUGCUGCUGCCUCCAAAUUCGAUAUACCCACAAAAAAAAUACUUUUGAUACCCAUUUGUUGCUGCCUUCAACAACUGAAUUCAACACAACAAUUCGACCAAACUAAAACCCCAGAAAAAUAGAAAGAUCGAAGCAAAAAAUCUCCCAUUUUCGAGCACAAAAUUGAACCAAAACCCCCAGCAAAAUUGAACACUAAAAAACCCAUAAAAAUCGAGCAAAAACCCCCCAAUUUGAGCAGAUGUUCGGUGUAUAAACCCCCAACAAAUUUGAACCCUGCAAACCCCAGAAAAAUCGAACAUUUUCCAGCCAAAAAACCCCCCAAUUCGAGCAAAAAUUCCAACCUCAACCCUAGCAAUUUCGAACCCUGAAAACCCUAGAAAAAUUGAACAUUUUUUAGCCAAAACCCCCCCAAUUCGAGCAGAAAUUUGAACCUAAAACCCCAACAAAUUUGAACCCUUGUUUUCUUUAUGAUUUUUGUUGAUUUAAUGGUUGAAAUUUGCCACAAUCCCAGAAAAGCAAAGCUUUACAGAUUUGAUAAAGAAGGAAAUCAAUGGGAAAAUUCUAAAGCAUAAGGUUUCUGGGAAAGUUCGAUUGGUUAUGCGGCAAUCUAAAACUCUUAAGAUCUGUGCUAAUCAUCUGAUUAUUGCGGGUAUGAUUGUUCAAGAGCAUGUUGGGAAUGAAAAAUCUUGUACGUGGGUUGCUAGUGAUUAUGCUGAUGGAGAGUUGAAGGAGGAGAUGUUCUGUAUCCGAUUUGCAUAGAUUGAGAGUGAGCAAAUUUGCUUUAAAUUAAAUGUUUAUUAUCUGUGAUGCUGGUCCAAUAUCCUUGUGUUUUUGCAAUUUGCCAAUUAAACGAAUUUUAGAGUUAUCUUUGAGUUUGUUGUCCAAUUUUUUGAUUAAUUUGGUUUCCAUUGCGAAUUUCUAAUUUAUUUUAAUCUUGAAUUUUUGCUUGAAGAACCCCAAACAUUGAAUUUGUUGCUCUUUUGCUAAAUUUGAUCUUAAAAUUUGCUUAAUUCUUCAAGUCUAUUUGUGAAUUUCAUUCUACCCAUACAAUUUGCUGAAUUUCAUUCAACCCAUACAAUUUUCUGAAUUUCCUCAUCCUUAAAGAAGGUUUUUCUCAUUAAUCUUUUAGUUUUUCUAAUUUCCCCUUUUAAUUUUGCUUAAUUUUUAUCUACUUUGUUAUAAUCCAUACGAUUUAACAAAUGUUUUGGAUUUUUUCAAUUUCUCAUUACUAUAUGUUUACUUAUUUCGUCAAUUUCGAUUCUGUUUUGCCUUAUUAAUCUGGUUUUUUCUUUCUAUUUAAUCAAUAAUUGAAGCUAUAAUUCCAUUAUAUGUUGUCUAUAUACAAGCAACACUUGAAGAACUCCCUGUAAAAAAGAAGAGGCCGAGAAAAAGACAUUGAUUAGGUUUUUGGUCUGUAUACUUGUAUAGAGAACUCAGGUAUAUGUAGGUAUAUGUAUUAUCAGAUUGCCAGUAUAUGCUCCAUGUAGAUACCCUUGAGAAAGUGAAAAACAUUCCAAUGCUGCGUUUGUAGCUGAUUGUAUGCCUGGUUUUCUAUCACAAGAAAGAGAAUCUACGUGAGUGUGGCUAUUACGUCAUGCGUUAUAUGUACGAAAUACUUGAACAUCAUCAUAACAGUGAGGAUCUUAUUAAGGAUUUUUCAAUAACUACACCGUAUACCGAGGAGGAGAUAAAUGAGAUUCGAGAUAUUUGAGCAGAGUAUUUUAUAUGUAAUGUUGAACUUUAGAUUUACACUUAGCAAAUGUUGGACUUUUGUUUUGGAUUAUAGGCUUGACAUGAAUGAAUUUGGUUAACUGGUGUUGGGAUGAUGAGUAUAAUGUCAAUGAUAUUGAGAUGUAAACUUAUUGGGCAGGUUGUUAAUAUAAUGUCGCCAUUCCCAAUUUUAUGGGUAGGCCAAAAUACAAAGGAAACUCUGCUGAAAUUUACAUUUGCAUUCA